UAGAACAGAGACCGUUGGAAGAAA
rnacentral:siRNA from 1 species